AUUGAACGCUGGCGGCAGGCCUAACACAUGCAAGUCGAGCGGAGCGGCGGACGGGUGAGUAAUGCCUAGGCAUCUGCCUGGUAGUGGGGGAUAACGUCCGGCAACGGGCGCUAAUACCGCAUACUAUCCGUUGAGCCUUGGGCGGAUUCGCUAGUUGGUGGGGGAAAGGCCUACCAAGGCGACGAUCGGUAACUGGUCUGAGAGGAUGAUCAGUCACACGGGAACUGAGACAGGGCCCAGACGCCUAGGGUGGGCAGCAGUGGGGAAUAUUGGACAAGGGGCGAAAGCCUGAUCCAGCCAUGCCGCUGGUGUGAAGAAGGUUUUCGGAUGGUAAGGCACUUUAAGUUGGGAGGCGUUACCAACAGAGUAAGCAACGACUAACUUCGUGCCAGCCGCCGCGGUAAUAC
rnacentral:rRNA from 1 species